rnacentral:rRNA from 1 species
UACGAAGGGGGCUAGCGUUGAUCGGAAUUACUGGGCGUAAAGCGCACGUAGGCGGAUAUGUAAGUCAGAGGUGAAAUCCCAGGGCUCAACCAUGGAACUGCCUUUGAUACUGGAUGUCUCGAGUAUGGAAGAGGUGAGUGGAAUUCCGAGUGUAGAGGUAAAAUUCGUAGAUAUUCGGAGGAACACCAGUGGCGAAGGCGGCUCACUGGUCCAUUACUGACGCUGAGGUGCGAAAGCGUGGGGAGCAAACA